UACGUAGGUGGCAAGCGUUGUCCGGAAUUAUUGGGCGUAAAGCGCGCGCAGGCGGCCUUUUAAGUCUGAUGUGAAAGCCCCCGGCUCAACCGGGGAAGGUCAUUGGAAACUGAGAGGCUUGAGUACAGAAGAGGAAAGCGGAAUUCCACGUGUAGCGGUGAAAUGCUUAGAUAUGACACAGAACACCGAUUGCGUAGGCAGCUCACUAAACUGUAACUGACGCUGAGGCACGAAAGCGUGGGGAGCAAACAGG
rnacentral:rRNA from 1 species